AUACCGGCUGCUCGAGUGAUGGCCACUAUUACUGGGUUUAAAGCGUCCGUAGCUUGACUGUUAGGUCUCUUGGGAAAUCUUUUGGCUUAACCAAAAGGCGUCUAAGAGAUACCGGCAUUCUUGGAACUGGGAGAGGUAAGCCGUACUUCGGGGGUAGGAGUGAAAUCUUGUAAUCCUCGAGGGACGACCUAUGGCGAAGGCAGCUUACCAGAACAGCUUCGACAGUGAGGGACGAAAGCUGGGGGAGCAAACGGGAUUAGAUACCCCGGUAGUCCCAGCCGUAAACAAUGUGCGUUAGGUGUGUCGGUUACCACGCGUAACUGAUGCGCCGAAGAGAAGUCGUGAAACGCACCACCUGGGAAGUACGGUCGCAAGGCUGAAACUUAAAUGAAUUGGCGGGG
rnacentral:rRNA from 1 species